UACGGGGGGGGCAAGCGUUGUUCGGAAUUACUGGGCGUAAAGGGCUCGUAGGUGGCCAACUAAGUCAGACGUGAAAUCCCUCAGCUUAACUGGGGAACUGCGUCUGAGACUGGUGGGCUUGAGUGCAGGAGAGGAACGCGGAAUUCCAGGUGUAGCGGUGAAAUGCGUAGAUAUCUGGAGGAACACCGGUGGCGAAGGCGGCGUUCUGGACUGCAACUGACACUGAGGAACGAAAGCCAGGGGAGCAAACGGG
rnacentral:rRNA from 1 species